CUCUCUCUGUGUGUGUGUGUGUGUGUGUGUGUGUGUGUGUAAUUCCUCUGAGCUGAGGUGAGGGCGGAGCACCCUUACCCAGUCCAUCUGUACCAAGAGAAGUCAAGAGAUCUGGAUAUAGAACUCUUAGCUACCUCUCCAGCACCAUGCCUGGCUGAGUGUUGCCAUGCUUCCUGCCAUGAUGACAAUGGACUAAACCUCUGAAUGAAGGUGGGGAGGCUGCGUCCAUGCAGCAGGCUCCUCCCUACAACCAACAGAAAGAGCUUGGGUGGAUCUGCGCCAUCAAGAAUUCAGAAGAAGGUUACCAGGCACCUGAAAAGCGAGGAGAGCGGGUGAACCAGGCUUGGAAAAUCCCAGCCAAGGUCAGACAGUCCUGAGGAUACUGCGGGCAAAGCUGCUGCCACUGGGCUCUGACCCUUGGUGGCUUGGCUGCUCUGAGCGCUCUCUAUCCCCUGCAUCUUUGCUUCACUCUUAUUGGUCCAGAGCCUCAGCACAAUAUCCAGGAGCUGAGCUGGGUCAGACACCUAAGAGCCAGGAUGAGGGGAGUGGAGGUGAUGGUAGGAUGUGGAGACAAGGUACCCAAGAACAACCAAGAACUACAGAGGAGAAUUUGUCCCUUUGUGUCCUCUCUAGAUAGGACAGUGUUUGAAUGCUGGGUAAUUAAAAAAAAAGUGAGAAAGGUUUAUGGCCAGCAGGAAAGUUCUGAAUUGGCCUAUGACCAACUGCCCAGCCUUCACACCUUCCUGGAGUCUGCACCUGUGCUCUGUCUGCCUUCUUCAUUCCCCGAGAGAGGAGAGAAGAUAGACCAAACGAGACCACAGGGUCAAAAGAUUUCCCCCUUCUGUUCACCUCUGUCACUAGCAGGAUCAUCCCUGAAGACCCUGAGUGUGUUCUAUAUGCUUACUAUUGCUUUCUUGUGAUAAAGGCCACAUUACAUAAAAGUCACCAUUUUGGCCAUUUUAGAGUAUGUUAUUCAGUGCCAUUUAGUAGACUCACAGUGUCUUGUGACCAUUGCCACUGUGCCAUUCCAGAAUACUUCCGUUACCCCCAAAACAAAACCUGUGCCCUGAAGCACUCUCCUGCCUCUGGUGCUCCUGGAAGCAAGUCUUCUGCACUCUGUCUCUACAGAUCGGCCUAUUCUAGAAAUGUCACACAAAUGCAACUGGACACGAAGCUGCCUUACUCUUGUGUCCCUUCCCUCACCCAUCUCUUCUCCAUUUGGCACCUCACACAGCAAAGGUCAGGGAGUUAGUCUGGUUCCUAGGCCCUUCCCUGAGGCUCACAGAUGGGAGGGGAGGUGGUGAAGCCAUCAGGAGACUAAGGAAAUCCCCAGACAGGGAGGGGGGAUGGCUCAGUCAAUAAAGUGCUUGCCUUGCAAACACGAGGAACUGAGUUAGAUCCCCAGAA